rnacentral:rRNA from 1 species
AAUCAACCGAGAUUCCCCCAGUAGCGGCGAGCGAACGGGGAGCAGCCCGGAGUCUGAAUCAGCUUGUGUGUUAGUGGAACGGUCUGGAAAGUCCGACGGUACAGGGUGAUAGUCCCGUACACGAAAAUGCACUUGCUGUGAACUCGAAGAGUAGGGCGGGACACGUGGUAUCCUGUCUGAAUAUGGGGGGACCAUCCUCCAAGGCUAAAUACUCCUGACUGACCGAUAGUGAACCAGUACCGUGAGGGAAAGGCGAAAAGAACCCCGGCGAGGGGAGUGAAAAAGAACCUGAAACCGUGUACGUACAAGCAGUGGGAGCACCUUCGGGUGUGACUGCGUACCUUUUGUAUAAUGGGUCAGCGACUUAUAUUCUGUAGCAAGGUUAACCGUAUAGGGGAGCCGAAGGGAAACCGAGUCUUAACUGGGCGUUAAGUUGCAGGGUAUAGACCCGAAACCCGGUGAUCUAGCCAUGGGCAGGUUGAAGGUUGGGUAACACUAACUGGAGGACCGAACCGACUAAUGUUGAAAAAUUAGCGGAUGACCUGUGGCUGGGGGUGAAAGGCCAAUCAAACCGGGAGAUAGCUGGUUCUCCCCGAAAGCUAUUUAGGUAGCGCCUCGUGAA